ACGGCGGAAUGUUCAAUAAUCAAGACCUGGCAGCGAGUCGAUAUCAGCCAUUCACUGUCUAUUGUAACAUCGAUCUGAUGCAGUCUAUGUAAAACUGCAGUGUCCAAUUGCUGUUUGAAUUCGUUUAUUGAAUCACAUAGAUAGAUUAUAUCAAAGUUAUUCUUUAAGGAUUUAGUGUAUGUGUACGGAUUGUAGUUAGUGGAUACUAAAAUGUCAACGGAUAAAAAAAUCGCGUCGUCCCCGACGAAAUCAGACGAAAGUCCACAAAACACAAUUCGGGUGAUAAAGGCUAACGACACUGAACAAACGGUGGUUGAGGUCAAGGUCGCCGGAGAAGAUGGAGCUAAGGUCACGGUUUUCGGCGGGGAUGGACCUGUGACUAUUAACGGGAUUGCAGAUAAAACGGAUGAAAAACAACCGGAAGUGAACAAUAAAGCUGAAAGUAAAAACGAAGACACAGAACCUGUUAAAGACCCUAAUAAAGAUGUCAAUGAAAGUGUCAAUGAAGAUAAGUUGAGAAAGCUGAAGCAAAGAAAGUGGAAAACGAAAAGCAGAAAAACGAUGCCGACGACGACAACGAAACUCUUGAACCUUUAACUAAAGAAGAAAUAGACAAAACUUGUGUCCAAAUAUGCAAAUAAAUUGAACAAGAAAGAUUUGGACAAGUACCUGGAGUUUUACUGGUCCGUGGAUGAAUAUGGUUUUGGAAUAUUUACAUUUCACCAGUUUGUCUAUCGACUGGGGAAAAUUAAGAGAUAUUUGAACACCAGGGAAGCAGCGGAGAUGUUUGCCGAUCUUGAUCAUGACAAUGACAGGCUAGUGUCCCUGGACGAGUUUCUCGACGAAAUGUCAAGAGAAAAACCUAGGCCAAAAACUGAAGAAGAAUGGAAAGCAAGAUUUGAAUACUGUGACAAAAACCACGAUGGUUUUGUAUGCCAAGAAGACAUAGCUGCAGUUCUCCGCGAAAACAACGUGCAAUACCUAGAUGCAGAAAUUCUUUACUUUCUACACCAAAACAAAGCGGGCCCAGAUAAGAAAUUAGAUUUGGCAGAAUUCCGAUGGGCCGUAAAACAUUAAAAUUUACUUCAUAAAAUAUAUUCUAAUUAUAUACAUAUGUUAUACUUCAGAUAAAUUUUAUUAUUUCGGUCAGACGUUAUCAGUGUCCUUCAAAUGUGAUUUUUUUGUGUGACCUUGUCGGUUUGUGUGAGGUAUUCAGAGGAACAUGAACUUUAUCUAUGAACACAAUUUAGGGCAAAGAAUGCACUUUAUAUGGGCCAUGGACGUGAAGAAUACCGUCUGGAAAAAUAUCACUUAUACAGUAUUAUCCAUUUUGAACAUAAACCAUACAAAUGCUACGUUAGUGUAGACAGGACCAGAUGGCAACAAAUUACAUUCAGCAUCGACUGUCCCUAGCCGACUUUCGUUUUUGCACAGGCUCAUUUCGUUGUUUCUGUUUUUCGCGGCGGGCAAAAUCGCUAAAACGGUUAUUCAGAGAUCGGAUCUUAUUUUUGUUCGGGGCUUUCAGUGGCUGAGUGGUUUAGGCCGCUGAUUUAAAACCACUUGCCCCUCACCGAUGUGGGUUCGAGCCUCACUCGGGGCGUUGAAUUUAUGUGAGGAAGCCAUCCAGCUGGCUUAUGGAAGGUUGGUGGUUCUACCCGUCCGUGAUGAAAUAAUGCUCGCAUGGGCACAUUGGGUCUUUCUCUACCAUCAAAGCUGGAAAGUCGCCAUAUGACCUUAUUUGUGUCGGUCGGUGCGACGUUAAUGCUCGCAAAUGCAAAGGUGCAUGAACCUUGUGGAGAAGUUUCUUGCCACAGACUGUGUCAUCCAUGCAUUAUACAAAUUUCUAAUAUUUCAGUCUAAAACAUUUCGUUCUAUACAUCGUAGUAUCUAAAGUAGCGGUUCCGAGAUGAGGGACCCUAUCAUAUGUGCAAGGUAGGAACCUCGCAACUUGUGAUGUAUGUUCAAUGAUGUACUAAAUGCUUAUACACAAUUCUGCACGUCUGUCCCUUUUUAGUAGUGCUACCUCGAGUUUUCCCUAUAUGCAACAUAAUUUUUACUACUUUGUUAACAAUGUGUAAAUAAGACUGAAAAAUUCCGUUUGCAACGUGAUCGCAAUUUGUUUAAAGCUAUAUCAGCAGCGAAUUUUUAAACUGAUAUUUCAGCUUUUUUUCUAAGAUAAACACAUGCUGUUAGCUUCUACUUCUUUGCUCUAAAGAUAGCGCAUGCUGGGUUGGGUCAAAGUAUUAUUACAUAUUUACCAGUAUUGCAUUAAAUCGAGGUGAUCUCUAGAUUACUUUGACCCGUUCUUAGUUGCUGUUUAUCACUGUAAGUCUUGCAUUUCUUUAGAUUAAAAUUUACAUUAUAUAAGCACAUGUUUAAUGAACAAGGCCUUUUUUUGUUGGAAAGAGGAUUAUAAUACGGGAGCCUGUGAUAACCACUGUUCAGAGUUUCCAAUUAAAUAGCAAUUUGUGUAACUAACACCUAUUGCAGAUAGUUCCGUGCUUUAACAGCCAGGUUAAAGAAGGCACCUGUGAAAGGAAUGCGUACGCUGGUAAAGCCUUUCUAUGGUUAUGAAAGGAAUGUGUACGCUGGUCAAAUAAAAGGAAUAUGCAUGCUGGUCAAGCCUUACUGGGGUUAUAAAAGGAAUAUGUAUGCUGGCCAAGCCUUUCAUAGGUUAUGAAAGAUAUGUGCACACUGGCUAAGCCUUCUAGAGUUCUGAAAGGAGUGUGUAUGCUAGUAAGCCUUCAUAGGGUUCUGCCUGGGGUUAUGAAAGGAAUGUAUACGCUGGUCAAGCCUUCCUGUUCGGAAGGGAAAGUGUAUGCUGGUCAAGUCUUCCUGGGGUUAUGAAAGGAAUGUGGAUGCUGCAUAUGGUCAAGUCUUCCAGGGGUUAUGAAAGGAACGUGGAUGCUGGUCAAAUCUUCCUGGGGUUAUGAAAGAAGUGUGUAUGCUGGUCAAGUGUUCCCAAGGUUAUGAAGGGAAUGUGUACGCUGGUCAAAUCUUCCUGGGUAUAUGAUAGGAAAAUUGUCGAUCGUCGAAGCCUUCCUGGGGUAAUGAAAAGAAUGUGUACACUGAUCAAGCCUUCCUGCGAUUCUUGUCCAAAAUUUUGCAAAAAGCAUGCAAAUGUUCCUAAAUGCCUUAUUUUGUACUAUUGCUAUGUGAACAAACUACACUGUGAUUGCUUUCUGUUAUAUAAAAUAUAGAGUAAUGUAUGUUAACUUGCUUAUCAGCUUUUUAUGCUCAAGCUUCAAAGUAAUAAAGAAUUCAAACUGUG
rnacentral:lncRNA from 1 species